AUUGAACGCUGGCGGCAGGCCUAACACAUGCAAGUCGAACGAGUGGCGGACGGGUGAGUAAUGUCUGGGAAACUGCCCGAUGGAGGGGGAUAACGACUGGAAACGGUAGCUAAUAACGCAUACUAUCGGAUGCGCACAGAUGGGAUUGGCUAGUAGGGGGGGUAACGGCGCACUUAGGCGACGAUCCCGAGCUGGUCUGAGUGGAAGACCAGCCAAACUGGAACUGAGACACGGUCCAGACUCCUACGGAAGGCAGCAGUGGGAAAUAUUACACAAUGGGCGCAAGCCUGAUGCAGCCAGGCCGCGUGUAUGAAGAAGGCAUUCGGGUUGUAAAGUACUUUCAGCGAGGAGGCGUUACUCGCAGAAGAAGCACCGGCUAACUCCGUGCCAGCAGCCGCGGUAAUAC
rnacentral:rRNA from 1 species